rnacentral:rRNA from 1 species
UUCGCCCUUAGAGUUUGAUCCUGGCUCAGGACGAACGCUGGCGGCGUGCCUAACACAUGCAAGUCGAGCGAAUGAAGUUCCUCCGGGAACGGAUUUAGCGGCGGACGGGUGAGUAACACGUGGGCAACCUGCCUCAUAGAGGGGAAUAGCCUUCCGAAAGGGAGAUUAAUACCGCAUAAGAUUGUAGUACCGCAUGGUACAUCAAUUAAAGGAGCAAUCCGCUAUGAGAUGGGCCCGCGGCGCAUUAGCUAGUUGGUGAGGUAACGGCUCACCAAGGCGACGAUGCGUAGCCGACCUGAGAGGGUGAUCGGCCACAUUGGGACUGAGACACGGCCCAGACUCCUACGGGAGGCAGCAGUGGGGAAUAUUGCACAAUGGGGGAAACCCUGAUGCAGCAACGCCGCGUGAGUGAUGACGGCCUUCGGGUUGUAAAGCUCUGUCUUCAGGGACGAUAAUGACGGUACCUGAGGAGGAAGCCACGGCUAACUACGUGCCAGCAGCCGCGGUAAUACGUAGGUGGCGAGCGUUGUCCGGAUUUACUGGGCGUAAAGGGAGCGUAGGCGGAUUUUUAAGUGAGAUGUGAAAUACUCGGGCUUAACCUGAGUGCUGCAUUUCAAACUGGAAGUCUAGAGUGCAGGAGAGGAGAAGGGAAUUCCUAGUGUAGCGGUGAAAUGCGUAGAGAUUAGGAAGAACACCAGUGGCGAAGGCGCUUCUCUGGACUGUAACUGACGCUGAGGCUCGAAAGCGUGGGGAGCAAACAGGAUUAGAUACCCUGGUAGUCCACGCCGUAAACGAUGAAAAAUAGGGGUUGGGGGUUUUCAUGACCUCUGUGCCCCCUCAAACGCAUUAGUAAUUUCCCCCGGGGAGGACGUUGGCAAGAAUAAAAUCACAAGAAUUGACAGGGGGCCGCCCAAGCAGCGGAGCAUGUGGUUUAUUUGUUGCAACGCGAAGAACCCUACCUUGACGUGACAUCUCCUGCACUACUUCUUUAUCAAGGAAGUCCCUUCGGGGACAGGAUGACAGAUGGUGCAUGGUUGUCGUCAGCUCGUGUCUUGAGAUGUUGGGUUAAGUCCCGCAACGAGCGCACCCCUCAUUGUUAGUUGCCAUCAUUAAGUUGGGCACUCUAGCGAGACUGCCCGGGUUAACCGGGAGGAAGGUGGGGAUGACGUCAAAUCAUCAUGCCCCUUAUGUCUAGGGCUACACACGUGCUACAAUGGUCGGUACAAUAAGACGCAAGCCCGCGAGGGGGAGCAAAACUGGAAAACCGAUCUCAGUUCGGAUUGUAGGCUGAAACUCGCCUACAUGAAGCUGGAGUUGCUAGUAAUCGCGAAUCAGCAUGUCGCGGUGAAUAAGUUCCCGGGCCUUGUACACACCGCCCGUCA